GGGCGACUGUGCCGCGACUCUCUUAUCCUCUUGUCCGGCGAGCCACCCUCCACUCCGUGGCCAUGCCAUCUACUCCUUACCUGCCUCACCUUAUCCCCUCCUCCCAUCUCUCCAGUCUGCCUCUCAGUGCUCCCGUGCUCCUCUGGCGCCCGCACCUAGAUCUGGCCGCCUAGGGUUCGCUGCCGCCUAAGAUGGUGACUAUGGAGCUCGCCGCCACUGGAUCCGGCGGCCAAGUCCUUGACCAGAUGCCACAGUCAAGGAGGAAGCAGGGUCAAGAAGAGGCGGCGCCGUCCCAGGCUGGUGCGAGAAGCGCGCUGGUCCUCCUUCCGGCCAGUGGCUACCUCGCUCUAGGCCUGCUCCUGGGGUAAUGUUGAGCGACGAUGGCGGCGAAAACCACCUUGGGCACGAAGGAGAAGUAGGGAAGCAUCGAUCCAGAGGCUGCAACUAAUUUCUGGGCUGAUUUGAGCUGCCUCCUUGCCACCACGGCCGAAGGUGUAAGCGGGUGAUGGUGUUGCUAAAACUCAAAGCCACCAAUGCAACUCCCACAACUCGACCAUACCUCAGUCUUGAUAUUCUUCCUUAAUCCCACGUGUUUCUAUUGGAAAGUACUCAGUGGUUAACGGAUUGUUCGUUUCAUGAUGUGCUUAGUGAGAUUGAUAAUUUUUUAGUACGGGUUGAACACGUCUUAGGUUGGUCAGACUAUCCACACACUGGCAUGUAUAUCCAUAUAGUGUUUAUUCCUUAAGCAGGUUGAUAUUUUCAAGUAAUUGCCUUAAUAGCAGAAAAUAGUGUACCGAUGAAUAGAAUAAUAUGAAUAUUGCCCUGUCUAACAUUUCAUCUCUCCAUGCUCUGGCAAGUGCUGCUUCAUCCCUCAAAUUGACUGAUGUAACCAAAUUAAAAUUGUAUGCACACGAGAAAAAAAGAUCGCCAAUAUGCACAUCCCCUGUAACAAAAAAAUGUUUGAGCUGGUAGUAUAUGGUAUUUGAGCAAAAUGUUUUGUAUAGAUAUUAAUAGGUGGAACUCAGCAAUCAACAAUUACUAUAAAACUAUUGGCUGGUUAUAAGUUCAGCAACAUGUAUUCCUCAUUUGUUAGUUAAGCAUAUUGAAAAGUAGUAUCAUGAUUACUUUUGUUCUUUAUAUCUUUUUCGUUCGUGAAAGUAAAGCCUUCCUGCAGAGUGAUCAACUAAUUUUGAUGGUAAUUCACAUAUAUUCUGGUUGCCCAAUUUUGCAGGAAGCCAAUGUACAUGGGAUUUAUGAAAUAUAAAUUUCUGCCUCUAUGCGCCAUGUGAUUUGUUUAGUUUAUUUUUAGACCUGGGAACUUUUAUCAAAUGGAGUUCAAUCCGGCACUGAAACUUUGUUCCAGUAUAUUACUAUAACUCUCUGUUCCGUACAAUCAUUGUUAUUUCAAACAAGACUGACAAUUUUUUAUCAUGGGACAUGUAUUGGUCCUUAAUAAGUGUCAAAUGAACUUCCUCCUUUCCCAGCCAUUGAUGCAAUCCAAAUAUUAAGAUGCACUGUUUAAGUGAACAUGGAUUGCUUAUGUAGGUGCAUACUGAACUACUAACUGCAGUUUCUGAAUUUAUGGAUUGUGUGCAAAGUUUUCAUUGUUUCUGCAGGUACGUUCCUACCUUUCCACAUCCUUGAUUGCAGUCUUACUGUUAUAUAAUUUCCAUUCAAUGUUUACUGCCUAGGUCUAUAUCCUUGGUUGCAUAUUUACCUGGCAAAUUAUAUUUGCAAUGAGUUCUAGAUUAGACUAGAUAUAGACACGAUCAUAUAGUUUCUUGUUGUUGUACUUACACACGAAUUGGUUCAUCAAAGUACUUUGUUAGUAGGCGAGGUCUCCAUUCUUAUUUGUACAUCUUGAAAUGAAAUGGUCAAUGAUCUUAAAUUGUUUACCAUGGACAUAUCUGUAUACAAAUGAGUUGGCAUAGAGGGGCAUCUUUGUCGUCUCACUGCUAAAGUAUUUGUGUUACUCACACACUCAUGUGUUUAGUAUGUAUGUCUAGCUUGCAUAUUUAAACUGAAGAUCCAUUUCUAGUGUGCAUGUUUACAAAUAAACUGUACUAAUUCAAAAACCUGGCAAUUGUUACAUAUACACAUAAGCAUCAUUAAUCAGAGUAGCAGUUGCACAUCAAUACAAAAAAUUCAGGUUUCAGGAAAAUAAGUACAACCAUACAGAACUAGCUUCAGGUUGCAUAAAAAGACCAAAUAAGUUACUAGUGUUUCAGCCUUUUAGUUAAGCAUGGGAGCUAUGUGCACCGGGCUGCCUUACAUUGUAGAACUCUCACAAACAUAAGAGUUUGUAUUUAAUCUUCAUGGUCUGAGAACAUGACCUUCAUCUAAUUUAACCCUGCUAUGGAAAUAGUAGUAUAUUGCUCACAAAUUGUACAAGUUGAAUUUAUAUAGGAAGUAAAAGCAAUACAUUGGGUAAAAUGAGCACAAAAGUAAUGAUUCCAUGGUUCUAGUUGAAAUUGAAGCACGUCGACAAGCUGUACAAUGCAUGAUGCUAUCAUAUUGUGUGAGUCUAAUACGACCAAUUUAGUGAAUUAUUGUUGUUUAGUGGCUUGUGCAUUUGCGCGUGUAAUUGUGUAUGUGCCAAGAUAUUGUUUCAAUUGAUAAGGUGGACUCCCGAGUACAAUUUGUUGAUGCAGUUCCUUUCCUUUUACGAUGUUAGUUGUUUCAUGUUCAUAAUGACUUCUAAUGGUGAACAUCCUCCAGACUGUGCUUUUUUGUCAAGAUAAAAAAAUUGCUACUAUGAAAAGGGGAUGUUGGGUGGUUCUAAAUGUUAAAAUAUUCUGCACAGUGGCACAUUCUAUAAUAUUCCAUAUUUAUAGUCCAUGAUUUUAAACAGUGUACACUAGGAUUGUGGCUUUCAAUGACCACAACCUGUUAUUUGACUUCUUUGUGUUACUGUAGUGCACUAUAUUAUGCAUAUGACAUGAGAACAAACUAUGGAAACCUUCCAAUGAAAAAAAAAUAGAACUAGUUUAUAUCCAUUAAAUAUUGCCGUACAUGCUUCCUGAUAUGAUUGCUUGAACUAGUAGUUGUAGACUCAUAGGUACAUCUCGUUGCUUGUUGAUCUGCCCUAGGACAAAAAAAUUAUCAGCACAUAAACUUCUAGUCUAAGUCCUUUUAUUAUCUAAGUUGCAGGAUACCAAUCAAUAUUUUGUGUUCAUAAUUAUAUCCAAAUUUCCUAGUUUCACGAACACACUUGAUGGUCAUCACUGGUUGUAGAAGUGCUACCGCUGGUUGUUAGUUGGUGGCUGCUAGCGUGCUUGCUCGCUGAUGUCUAUGUUGUAUGGAUCUUCUAUUCUUGAUGGUGUGAUGAUGGCUGAUGCUGCUGCUUAUUCUAUAUGCUUGUGGGUGUGCUUCUGUUGUGUUGAUUUCGUUGUGCUUCUGUUGCUACUGCCUGCUAUUUUUCCAGCUUGUUGUAUUGUUUUGCACUAUAUUUUGCUGCCAUUUUGCUCAUUUUCAUGUGAAUUUACUUGUAUAAAAAAGAUGGCACAAUAUCCCCAUUUGAUGCACAAAAUUUAAAAUCCACCUUUUUGACUUACAGUGUGUUUCUUCUGUAGGAGAGAUAUGCAUGAGGACUAAUAAACAAGUGGAGAGGGUUCGCUCCAACGGGAUGUUUUGUAUAUUUGUACAUUGGGCAUUCACCUCUUAGGUAUCCUUUUGUGAGUCUGAUGUAUGGUCUCUUGGACAAUGAAUCAGAAAUAAUAGUACCACCAAGUUACCUUUUGUGAACAUGAUGUAUGGUGUCUUGGUGAUUAUGUUUUGAACAAAUGAACUAUAUGUAUGUGACAUUUAAUG
rnacentral:rRNA from 1 species